rnacentral:tRNA from 1 species
UGGUUCAGUGGUAGAAUUCUCACCUUCCAUGUGGGAGACCUGGAUUCAAUUCCCAG